rnacentral:rRNA from 1 species
AUUGAACGCUGGCGGCAUGCCUUACACAUGCAAGUCGAACGGUAACGCGGGGCAACCUGGCGACGAGUGGCGAACGGGUGAGUAAUACAUCGGAACGUGCCCAGUAGUGGGGGAUAGCCCGGCGAAAGCCGGAUUAAUACCGCAUACGACCUAUGGGUGAAAGCGGGGGAGUCGCAAGACCUCGCGCUAUUGGAGCGGCCGAUGUCAGAUUAGGUAGUUGGUGGGGUAAAAGCCUACCAAGCCGACGAUCUGUAGCUGGUCUGAGAGGACGACCAGCCACACUGGGACUGAGACACGGCCCAGACUCCUACGGGAGGCAGCAGUGGGGAAUUUUGGACAAUGGGCGCAAGCCUGAUCCAGCCAUGCCGCGUGCGGGAAGAAGGCC